rnacentral:lncRNA from 1 species
ACCAACAGGGCCAGACGAUCAGAAAAGUGCCCCGGGCUCUGCUGCCCUUGGAGAGUCAGGGCUGGGGGCCGAGAGCAAGGGUCCAGGGCAUGGAGGGCCCUCCCGCCUGGGUUUUUGCUUACAGAUGGAGAAGUGGGAUUAUUAAGCCAGAGGGUGUGCUUCAGAAGGUGUGCUUACGAAGGGGCUUUCGGGUCACAAUGCAGAGAACUUCCUCGCAGUGAGCAGCCUUGGGUCCUGGGGUAAUACAGCCAGCCCAGGUAGAGGACCAUGGAGUUGGCCUGGGUCUCCCUCUGGCCUGGCCCUGGCUGGCCACCUUCGCCGAAGGGGAGGGAAUGGUCGCUGCCCUCCCCCACCAUUUCCAGGGUCAGGUGCCAGACCUGGGCCUCAUCUGCCUUUGCAGGGCAUUUGGGAAGCACUUAGCCAGGCCUGACAGUGGCCAGGCUGCUUCAUAAGACGCCUGGUGCACUAAAGAAGACUAGCAAAGCAGGGGGCGGACUAAAGUGGGCGGGAAAUGCUGCUUUCAUGCAUCUGCGUGUUGACAGCUAAUGAGGAAGAAAGGGAAGGCCCCUUCCCAUACAGGGCUGGAAAACGUGCAAAAAAAAUGCCCAUGGCCUGAGACCAGGCGCUACAGGCUAUGGGCAGGACAAGCCUGGGCCUCCCUUCCCGGGUCUGUCCUGGGCUCCCUGGCUGCUGUGGGUCCCCCCAGGCAAGAUACUCACCCCACUGGGAUGGCUGAGCAGAGAGCUGGAGGCAGCAAAUGGAAGCACCAUCUACUGGGAACCUCAUGUCCCUAAAGAAUAAGCAGGUUGCUUCUGUCACCACUUUUUUCAAUUUAAAGGAGA